CCAGUCAUUCGCGAGAUAAAAGCCACCAACGCGUGCGAACGUUGCGGUCCAUGGAACUCUGGGCCAGUUGUCAAGGAGACUGUACCUGCCGAGCCACUCACAAGGGUGGCAAAAUCACGUCACCCCCCCCCCCGAACGGCGCCUCUGGACUGGGGGUGGGGGAGGGGGGAUCGUAACCUAUCUCAGCUGUUCGCACACUUUACACUUCAGCCAAUCACAAUCCCCGGAGAUUCGUUAAAGCACAGUUGGCUCCUGCCUUCCCCACCUCAUCCGUCCAACCUCCCCUUUCUGACUCUUUAAGUCUUCCAAGGGCCGGAGAUUGUGCGUUUCUAACGAGUUCCCAGGUGAUGCUGAGGCAGUCGUGAAGAUCAAGAGCUAGCGUUCACGUUUCAUUUCGUUCCAACCCCGGCCUCUUUUCCUCGGAAUGCUAGACUCUUACUUUUCCUCUUGAGUAUGCGCCAAGCCUAUGUGUGUAGCAGCAAAAGGUUGUCAAGGUCAUAAAUAGCAAAGGAAGAGUGGGGAACUGCUCCAGAUUCAGACUAAGGAGACAUGACACUCACGCCAUGUAGAGUCAUGGAUUGGACCCUGAAGCCACUGGAAAUCCAAGUGGAUAGAUAAACGUACCGAGGUGUGGUCAAGCGGUGAAAGGCUAGUCAGCCAUAAAGACAGAAUGAAAUGCUGCUAUAUACCAUGACGUGGAUGGAUCCCAAAAACAUUAUGCUGAGUAAAAGAAGCCUGACACACCAAAAAGUACAUACUGUAUGAUCCCAUUUAUGUGAAAUUCCAGAAAGGACAAAUCUAAUCUACAGUGACAGAAAGCAGACCAGUGGUUGCCUGGAGCUGGGGCUGGAAGGAUUGGCUGGGAAGCAACACAAGGGAAUGUUCUGAGGUGAAGCAAAUGUUCUGCAUCUUGACUGUAGCAGUGGUUACUUGGUUAUAUAAGCUUGUCGGAGCUCAUCAAAAUGUACAUUUGAAAUAGGUGCGCUUUGCUGAAUGACAAUCAUACCUCAAUAAAGUUGAUUCAACAGGAUAAAACAUUCAAUGAGUAGAACAUACUGUGCUACUCAAAUAUCCAACUGUGAAGAAGCCUGCAUAUAGACACAGAGAGAGAAAUAAUCCCUGGGGCACCUCAGUCUGUAAAAGGUACUCACCUUCAUGAUGACCCCAGGUUCUUCUGGAAGCUGCCUUAUGGGCUUGCUGUGGGGCCUGGCCUAGGGUUCGGCGUCUGAGCCAUCUUGAGACACCAUUGUUUUUUGUGCUGAGUUAUGGGAUGACCCGGGAAUUCUGUUUUAGCCCUCAGUUGAAGGACUUUGCCCUCUCUUCCCAGCUCCGGUCUGCUGCCUGAUUUUGUAAGCUUCCACCUCUCGUUCUCUCUCUUCCCAGAACUCCCAGGGCGUGGAGAAGCUCGUGCUGCCCAGCCAACUCCCACCUGAGGCUGAAGUCUUUUCAGUUUACAGAGAGAGGCGACGUAACUGCUUUUGCCGUCAUUGGCCCUUUUUUUUUUUUUCUUCCUCUUCCUCUCUCUACUUUGUCUGUCAAGGCCCCCAAAUCACAUCCUACUUCUACUGGACUCUGCUAGAACCUCUCUGUCUUUUCAGCUGAUAGCUCCCAUCCCUCGAUUCCAUGUCUCAAUGUCACUGUGACACAUAGCACGGAAAAAGAUUGAGGACCUCCCUUUGAUUUCAGAGUGACCAAGGGACUCAGGAAAGGAUGGAAUGGCCCCAAAUGAGACAGCAACCCGCAGGCCAAUGCCUGUCAUAUUGAGACUUCACAGUAAGAAUAUCCUUCAAGGAACAGCAGUCAGCCAUUUACCCCAAAUUAUCACCCAUUUGCCCCCAAAUAAUCUGUGUGAUCUGUAAUUACACUUUUGAUUGCUUCUUAUUUCUACGUGGUAGACUUCAAACUCCUUAGCAUUGCCCACCAGACCAUCAUAGUCCUGUCUUUGCAUAUGAGGUCCCUGUCCUUUCUUGUCCUCUUCUGCCGGUAACACUUCAAGCUUCAGCUGAAACAUACCCUCAUAUGUGAAGUCUGACCUACACUCCCAGGUGGGCAUGAGUAAGCCCUCCUCGCUCAGCUCUUUACCUGUCUCUGCUGUUGGACUCGUCACAAUUCCACAGUGAUUCGGCCAUGUGACCCUCUCUCCAAAGAAAUGUCCAGCUUAUCGAGGGCAGAAACAACAGCAUGGUCAUCUUCUGUAACUCCCAUGCCAAGCACUGCUCCUACGCCACAGCAAGCAUUCAAAUCAUUAUGACCACAAAGCCUGGUGCUGUCAUAGACACAAACACUGCCUAAAGCUUGACUUCCAUCUCAUGAGGCUUGCAGGCCAGCAGGAGAGCUGAACAUUCACAUCACUGUAAUGCAAGGGUAAGUGUGAAGUAUUGGCUUAAAUGUUAAGCAGGAUCGGAACAGCAAGGGAGAAGGGUUCAAGUCAGACAAUUGGCACUGUUGUUCGAAAUGAUCUACCAACCGCUAAUUUUUAGUGAGUACUUUCUCUGGGCCAAAGACCAGCACAGCACAUGCUGCGUUAGUUUCCUGUGGCUGAUGUGACAUAGAAUCACAAACUAGGUGGCUGAAAACAAGAGAAAUGUAUUCUCUCACAGUCUGGAGGCUAGAAGUCCAAGAUCAAGAUUUCAGCUCGGCUAUGUUCCCUGUGAAGGGUUUAGGGAAGAAUCCUUCCUUGCCCCUUCCAGCUUCCAGUGGUUGCUGGCAAUUUUUCACGUUUCUUGGCUUGUGGCUGCUUUACUCCCGUCUCUGUCUCUAUCACAUGACUCUCUUCCCUGUGUGCAUGCAUAUAUCUCUGUGUGUCCUCUCAUUUUCUUAUAAGGACAGCAGUCAUUGGCUUUAGCCCUCCCCCCCCCCCCCAAUCUAGUAUGACCUCUUCUUAAUUGAUUACAUCUGCCAAGGCUAUAGUUCCAAGUAAGGCAACAUUCUGAGGUUCCAGGUGGAUGUGAAUUUUGGAGGGACAUUAUUGAACCCACUGUACAUGAAAAAUCUCAUUUACUUUUCACCACAACUCUAUCAAGUCAACGUUAUUACAACACACAUUUUAUACAUGAAGAAAUUGAAGUAUAGAGAACUUAAAUGGUUGCCCAAGGUAACAUACCAGGAAUGCCAGGAAUUCUGAUGUUAGAGCAUUUUAUCUACCCACUGUGAUACACCUCUCUUAAAACUUGAAAACAAAAGUAGGGGCACCUGGGUGGUUCAGUCCAUUAAGCAUCCGACUUCAGAUCAGGUCAUGAUCUCACGGUUCAUGAGUUCGAGCCCUUCAUCAGGCUCUGUGCUGACAACUCAGAGCCUGGAGACUACUUUGGAUUCUAUGACUCCCUCUCUCUCUGUCCCUUCCCUGCUUGCUCUCUGUCUCUCUGUCUCUCUCUCAAAAAUAAGUAAACAUUAAAAAAAUU